rnacentral:rRNA from 1 species
CGUGCUUAACACAUGCAAGUCGAACGGUGAAGCCCAGCUUGCUGGGUGGAUCAGUGGCGAACGGGUGAGUAACACGUGAGCAACCUGCCCCUGACUCUGGGAUAAGCGCUGGAAACGGCGUCUAAUACUGGAUAUGUGACGUGACCGCAUGGUCUGCGUCUGGAAAGAAUUUCGGUUGGGGAUGGGCUCGCGGCCUAUCAGCUUGUUGGUGAGGUAAUGGCUCACCAAGGCGUCGACGGGUAGCCGGCCUGAGAGGGUGACCGGCCACACUGGGACUGAGACACGGCCCAGACUCCUACGGGAGGCAGCAGUGGGGAAUAUUGCACAAUGGGCGCAAGCCUGAUGCAGCAACGCCGCGUGAGGGAUGACGGCCUUCGGGUUGUAAACCUCUUUUAGCAGGGAAGAAGCGAAAGUGACGGUACCUGCAGAAAAAGCGCCGGCUAACUACGUGCCAGCAGCCGCGGUAAUACGUAGGGCGCAAGCGUUAUCCGGAAUUAUUGGGCGUAAAGAGCUCGUAGGCGGUUUGUCGCGUCUGCUGUGAAAUCCGGAGGCUCAACCUCCGGCCUGCAGUGGGUACGGGCAGACUAGAGUGCGGUAGGGGAGAUUGGAAUUCCUGGUGUAGCGGUGGAAUGCGCAGAUAUCAGGAGGAACACCGAUGGCGAAGGCAGAUCUCUGGGCCGUAACUGACGCUGAGGAGCGAAAGGGUGGGGAGCAAACAGGCUUAGAUACCCUGGUAGUCCACCCCGUAAACGUUGGGAACUAGUUGUG